ACCCUGGUGGUCCAGUGGUUAAGACUCUGCCUUCCAAUGCAGGGGCACAGGUUCAAUCCCUGGCUGGGGAA
rnacentral:tRNA from 1 species